ACAAUGGAGAGUUUGAUCCUGGCUCAGGAUGAACGCUAGCGGCAGGCCUAAUACAUGCAAGUCGGACGGGAUUGUGGAGCUUGCUUCACAUGAGAGUGGCGCACGGGUGCGUAACACGUAUGUAACCUACCUUAAUCUGGGGGAUAGCCUCUCGAAAGAGAGAUUAACACCGCAUAACAUUACGACAUAGCAUUUUGUUGUAAUCAAAUAUUUAUAGGAUUAAGAUGGGCAUGCGGAACAUUAGCUAGUUGGUAAGGUAAUGGCUUACCAAGGCUACGAUGUUUAGGGGAUCUGAGAGGAUGACCCCCCACACUGGUACUGAGACACGGACCAGACUCCUACGGGAGGCAGCAGUAAGGAAUAUUGGUCAAUGGGCGCAAGCCUGAACCAGCCAUGCCGCGUGCAGGAAGACGGCCCUACGGGUUGUAAACUGCUUUUGUACCGGAAUAAACCCCUUUUCGUGAAGAGGGCUGAAUGUACGGUAAGAAUAAGGAUCGGCUAACUCCGUGCCAGCAGCCGCGGUAAUACGGAGGAUCCAAGCGUUAUCCGGAUUUAUUGGGUUUAAAGGGUGCGUAGGCGGCCUAUUAAGUCAGGGGUGAAAGACGGUAGCUUAACUAUCGCAGUGCCUUUGAUACUGAUAGGCUUGAAUACACUUGAGGUAGGCGGAAUGUGACAAGUAGCGGUGAAAUGCAUAGAUAUGUCACAGAACACCAAUUGCGAAGGCAGCUUACUAAAGUGUCAUUGACGCUGAGGCACGAAAGCGUGGGGAUCAAACAGGAUUAGAUACCCUGGUAGUCCACGCCCUAAACGAUGAAUACUCGAUGUUGGCGAUAUACGGUCAGCGUCUAAGCGAAAGCGUUAAGUAUUCCACCUGGGGAGUACGCCCGCAAGGGUGAAACUCAAAGGAAUUGA
rnacentral:rRNA from 1 species